CACACACAAACAGACCUGCUAAUGACAUUGACACACACUGGUGUAACACAGACAAUGCAGAUGGUUAUGCAUACCACACACACAGACACACACACACACACACACACACACACACACACACACACACACACACACAUUUAUACACGAUUCCCUGUUCUCAAAGCCAAGCAGGAUCUUGGCUGACUGCUCUAGAACCUGCGUUUUCAUUCUCCCUGCACCUGAGAGUGUUCUGAGCCAAACAGGAUGUGAGCUGGACUAUGAUGAGCAUGAGGAAAAAAAACAGCAUAAAGAAGUGCAGUGCUCUGGACAUGUCCUCUGUGUCUCAUCUGUCCCGGACUUUCAUAUUAUUCCAUUUUCAGCUGCUGUAGUGAAAUGAUAAAUAAAUGGACAUUCAUACUGCUAAAUCAGCACAAAUGAAGAGUAAUAAAGAGUAAAAAAUAGUAAAGGAGCAUUUACUUGUUUCUUUUUAAAGUAUAAUAUUCUAUAAAUUUAUUAAUCAGUCAAUCAAUUAAUUAAUUAACACAUUUGUCUUUAAUUUAUAUUUUAUUUCCCCUGCAUUUUUCCUAGAAAAAAGUGUGUUUGUGUGUAAUUUUAGUGUAAAUUGUGUGUCAGAUGGGGGAUCAGUAGGUUGGGGGGGAUCAGUAGGGUGAGGGGAUUAGUAGGUUGGGGGAUCAGUAGGUUGGGGGAUCAGUCGGUUAGGGGAUCAGUAGGUUGGCGGGGAUCAGUAGGUUGGGAAAUCAGUAAGUUUGGGCGAUCAGUAGGUUGGUGGGGAUCAGUAGGUUGGAGGAUCAGUAGGUUGGUGGAGAUCAGUAGGUUGGGGGAUCAGUAGGUUGGGGGAUCGGUAGGUUGGAGGGAUCAGUAGGUUGGUGGGGAUCAGUAGGUUGGGGAAUCAGUAGGUUGGUGGGGAUCACUAGGUUUGAGGGAUCAGUAGGUUGGUGGGAAUCAGUAGGUGUUGGUCAGUAGAUUAGGGGAUCAGUAGGUUGGGGAAGAUCAGUAAGUAGGGGAUCAGUCGGUUGGUGGGAAUCAGUAGGUGUUGGUCAGUAGGUUGGGCGAUUAGUAAGUUGGGGGAUUAGUAGGAUGGUGGGGAUCAGUAAGUUAGGGGAUCAGUAGGUUGGUGGGGAUCAGUAGGUUGGAGGGAUCAGUAGGUGUUGGUCAGUAGGAUGGGGAUCAGUAAAUUGGGGGAUAGUAAGUUGGUGGGGAUCAGUAGGUUGGUGGGGAUCAAUAGGUUGGGGGAUCAGUAAGUCGGGGAUCAGUAGGUUGGUGGGAAUCUGCAUUUUGGAGGAUCAGUAGGUUGGUGGGAAUCAGUAGGUUGGGGGAUCAGUAGGUUGGUGGGAAUCAGUAGGUUGGGGGAUCAGUAGGUUGGUGGGAAUCAGUAGGUGUUGGUCAGUAGGUUGGGGGAUCAGUAGGUUGGUGGGGAUCAGUAGGUGUUGGUCAGUAGUUUGGGGGAAUCAGUAGGUUGGGGGGAUCAGUAAGUGUUGGUCAGUAGGUUGGGGGACCAGUAGGUUGAUGGGGAUCUGUAGGUUGGUGGAAAUCAGUAGAGUUUUGGUAGACCUUCAGGAUUGAAUGUUCAGACAGGCUGGGAGGAGACUGUUCUCUCUGCUCAUCUCUUGGUAUUCCAGGGCUUUAUAGUGGUAUGAUUGUGAUCUCGAUCUCUCUCUCUCUCUCUCUGUCCAUCUCUCUCUCUCUCUGUCCAUCUCUCUCUCUCUCUCUCUCUCUCUCUCUCUCUCUCUCUCUCUCUCUCUCUCUCUCUCUCUCUCUCUCUCUCUCUUUCACACUUUCUCUUUCUCUCCUCCUCCUCAUUCAGCAACAAUGAAAUAAAGAAUGAGAAUUGAUUAAGCCCCUAGAGUCUCUCAUUUAUUUUGAGCUCCACAUUUUCCCUUGAACACCUUGUAUCAGUCUGAUCA